GUCAAAAUUGUGGCCCUAAAACCAUUAUUUCUGACACCACUGAGAAAUGGGUUGUUACAUAGGGAGCGCAAAAGCGAUUCCUUUAGUAGCGGUGAGUGAAAUAAGAGCAGCCUAAAUAGUGAAAACGGGGUUGUGGGAGAGUAAUAAAAGCGCCGUGCUGCUAGGCGAAGCGGUGAAGUGCCAAAUCCUAGAUGGCAAUAGUUCAGUAGCUGAAAGCAUCACUAGCUUACACUCUAACCUAAGUAGCAUGGGGCACGUGGAGUCCCGAGUGAAUCAGCAAAGACCACCUUGCAAGGCUAAAUACUCUUGGGUGACCUAUAGCGAAGUAGUACCGUGAGGGAAGGGUGAAAAGAACCCCCGUCGGGGAGUGAAAUAGAACAUGAAAC
rfam:Gossypium arboreum cultivar AKA8401 contig_44649_1, whole genome shotgun sequence.